AUGAAGGAUGUGAUCUACGAGGGUGGGCACGGCCGUGCCUACGACCCCGACGAGACCCAAAGUCAGGAUGGCCGCGCCCAGUACGUUCCCGAUGAAGAGGCCGACGAUCGUGCUGACUACAACCAUGGUGACUCAUGGCAUGAGGACGAUGACGAUGAAGAAGAAAGCAAUGACAUUGAUAUUGGUGGUGAGCCAUUGUUCAUCGACGAGCUCACCCAAAGAGCGGAAACACAAAAGAGGAGGAAGAGCAUUCGCACGGGUUCAUAUACACAAGAUGAGGACAAGUUGAUUUACCAAUGUUGGAUGGAGAUUAGCCAAGAUCCAAAGACCAGCACGCAACAAAAGGGCCUUGUUUUUUGGACGAGAGUCCACAAAACUUUUCAUGAAAGGAAGAUGUUUGAGCCCUACCAAAUUACAAGCAACUGUGGCAUCACCUCGAUUCAAAAGAGGUGGUUGUUCAUCCAACAAGAGUGUAACAAGUAUUGCGCCGCAUUUGAGAGCGUUGAAGCACAACCCGUGAGUGAUCUCGGCGUUGGGGACAUGGUAUGCUCUCCUUUCCUAGCCCUUUUCCUUGCUACGGCCAUGUGA
rnacentral:rRNA from 1 species